AUGAACGCUAGCUACAGGCUUAACACAUGCAAGUCGAGGGGCAGCAUGGUCUUAGCUUGCUAAGGCCGAUGGCGACCGGCGCACGGGUGAGUAACACGUAUCCAACCUGCCGUCUACUCUUGGACAGCCUUCUGAAAGGAAGAUUAAUACAAGAUGGCAUCAUGAGUCCGCAUGUUCACAUGAUUAAAGGUAUUCCGGUAGACGAUGGGGAUGCGUUCCAUUAGAUAGUAGGCGGGGUAACGGCCCACCUAGUCUUCGAUGGAUAGGGGUUCUGAGAGGAAGGUCCCCCACAUUGGAACUGAGACACGGUCCAAACUCCUACGGGAGGCAGCAGUGAGGAAUAUUGGUCAAUGGGCGAGAGCCUGAACCAGCCAAGUAGCGUGAAGGAUGACUGCCCUAUGGGUUGUAAACUUCUUUUAUAAAGGAAUAAAGUCGGGUAUGCAUACCCGUUUGCAUGUACUUUAUGAAUAAGGAUCGGCUAACUCCGUGCCAGCAGCCGCGGUAAUACGGAGGAUCCGAGCGUUAUCCGGAUUUAUUGGGUUUAAAGGGAGCGUAGAUGGAUGUUUAAGUCAGUUGUGAAAGUUUGCGGCUCAACCGUAAAAUUGCAGUUGAUACUGGAUAUCUUGAGUGCAGUUGAGGCAGGCGGAAUUCGUGGUGUAGCGGUGAAAUGCUUAGAUAUCACGAAGAACUCCGAUUGCGAAGGCAGCCUGCUAAGCUGCAACUGACAUUGAGGCUCGAAAGUGUGGGUAUCAAACAGGAUUAGAUACCCUGGUAGUCCACACGGUAAACGAUGAAUACUCGCUGUUUGCGAUAUACAGCAAGCGGCCAAGCGAAAGCGUUAAGUAUUCCACCUGGGGAGUAAGCCGACAACGGUGAAACUCAAAACAAUUGACGGGGGCCCGCACAAGCGGAGGAACAUGUGGUUUAAUUCGAUGAUACGCGAGGAACCUUACCCGGGCUUAAAUUGCAGAUGAAUUACGGUGAAAGCCGUAAGCCGCAAGGCAUCUGUGAAGGUGCUGCAUGGUUGUCGUCAGCUCGUGCCGUGAGGUGUCGGCUUAAGUGCCAUAACGAGCGCAACCCUUGUUGUCAGUUACUAACAGGUUCCGCUGAGGACUCUGACAAGACUGCCAUCGUAAGAUGUGAGGAAGGUGGGGAUGACGUCAAAUCAGCACGGCCCUUACGUCCGGGGCUACACACGUGUUACAAUGGGGGGUACAGAGGGCCGCUACCACGCGAGUGGAUGCCAAUCCCAAAAACCUCUCUCAGUUCGGACUGGAGUCUGCAACCCGACUCCACGAAGCUGGAUUCGCUAGUAAUCGCGCAUCAGCCACGGCGCGGUGAAUACGUUCCCGGGCCUUGUACACACCGCCCGUCAAGCCAUGGGAGCCGGGGGUACCUGAAGUGCGUAACCGCGAGGAGCGCCCUAGGGUAAAACUGGUGACUGGGGCU
rnacentral:rRNA from 1 species